rnacentral:rRNA from 1 species
AAUGCAGUCGACGAGAACUCCCUGGAGCUUGCUUUGGGUAGUUCUAGUGGCGGACGGGUGCGUAACACGUGAGCUACUUGCCUCGAAGUGGGGGAUAGCCCGAGGAAACUCGGAUUAAUACCGCAUGUGGUCUUCGGAUCAAAGACGGCUUCGGCUGUCGCUUCGAGAUAGGCUCGCGGCCCAUCAGCUUGUUGGUGAGGUAACGGCUCACCAAGGCUGCGACGGGUAGCUGGUCUGAGAGGACGAUCAGCCACACUGGAACUGAGACACGGUCCAGACACCUACGGGUGGCAGCAGUCGAGAAUCAUUCACAAUGGGGGAAACCCUGAUGGUGCAACGCCGCGUGGAGGAUGACGGCCCUCGGGUUGUAAACUCCUGUCAUCUGGGAGUAAGCCAUGUUCGUUAAUAGCGUGCAUGGUUGAUAGUACCAGAAGAGGAAGGGACGGCUAACUACGUGCCAGCAGCCGCGGUAAAACGUAGGAGGCGAGCGUUAUCCGGAUUUACUGGGCGUAAAGCGCGUGCAGGCGGUGAUGUAAGUUACCUAUGAAAGCUCUUGGCUAAACUGAGAGAGGAUAGGUGAAACUGCAUGACUAGAGUGAGGAAGAGGGAAGUAGAAUUCCGGGUGUAGUGGUGAAAUGCGUAGAUAUCCGGAGGAAUACCAGUGGCGAAGGCGGCUUCCUGGUCCUCAACUGACGCUGAGACGCGAAAGCGUGGGUAGCGAACGGGAUUAGAUACCCUGGUA